GAUGAACGCUGGCGGCGUGCCUAAUACAUGCAAGUCGAGCGAACGGACGAGAAGCUUGCUUCUCUGAUGUUAGCGGCGGACGGGUGAGUAACACGUGGAUAACCUACCUAUAAGACUGGGAUAACUUCGGGAAACCGUAGCUAAUACCGGAUAAUAUUUUGAACCGCAUGGUUCAAAAGUGAAAGACGGUCUUGCUGUCACGUAUAGAUGGAUCCGCGCUGCAUUAUCUAGUUGGUAAGGUAACGGCUUACCAAGGCAACGAUGCAUAGCCGACCUGAGAGGGUGAUCGGCCACACUGGAGCUGAGACACGGUCCCGACUCCUAAGGGAGGCAGCAGUAGGGAAUCUUCCGCAAUGGGCGAAAGCAUGACGGAGCAACGCCGAGUGAGUGAUGAAGGUCUUCGGAUCGUAAAACUCUGUUAUUAGGGAAGAACAUAUGUGUAAGUAACUGUGCACAUCUUGACGGUACCUAAUCAGAAAGCCACGGCUAACUACGUG
rnacentral:rRNA from 1 species